UACAGAGGUCUCAAGCGUUGUUCGGAUUCAUUGGGCGUAAAGGGUGCGUAGGGGGCGUGGUAAGUCAGGUGUGAAAUCUCGGAGCUCAACUCCGAAACUGCACUUGAUACUGCCUUGCUCGAGUACUGGAGAGGAGAUUGGAAUUUACGGUGUAGCAGUGAAAUGCGUAGAUAUCGUAAGGAAGACCAGUGGCGAAGGCGAAUCUCUGGACAAUUACUGACACUGAGGCACGAAGGCCAGGGGAGCAAACGGG
rnacentral:rRNA from 1 species